CACCAAAGAUUAUUAAAAAACAAACUCAUUUCCCUUGAUACAGUCCAUACACACACACAGACUGCUGAGACCAUACACACACAGACACACAGAGACGGCUGAGUCCAAACACACACACACAGGCUGCUGAGUACACACACACAGACACACACACAGACUGCUGAGUCCACACACACACAGACUGCUGAGUCCAUACACACAGACAAACUGCUGAGUCCAUACACACAGACAGACUGCUG